AGUGAACGCUGGCGGUAGGCCUAACACAUGCAAGUCGAGCGGCAGCACAGUAAGAGCUUGCUCUUACGGGUGGCGAGUGGCGGACGGGUGAGGAAUACAUCGGAAUCUACUUUUUCGUGGGGGAUAACGUAGGGAAACUUACGCUAAUACCGCAUACGACCUACGGGUGAAAGCAGGGGAUCUUCGGACCUUGCGCGAUUGAAUGAGCCGAUGUCGGAUUAGCUAGUUGGCGGGGUAAAGGCCCACCAAGGCGACGAUCCGUAGCUGGUCUGAGAGGAUGAUCAGCCACACUGGAACUGAGACACGGUCCAGACUCCUACGGGAGGCAGCAGUGGGGAAUAUUGGACAAUGGGCGCAAGCCUGAUCUAGCCAUACCGCGUGGGUGAAGAAGGCCUUCGGGUUGUAAAGCCCUUUUGUUGGGAAAGAAAAGCAGCAGGUUAAUACCCCGCUGUUCUGACGGUACCCAAAGAAUAAGCACCGGCUAACUUCGUG
rnacentral:rRNA from 1 species